rnacentral:rRNA from 1 species
UACGUAGGGGGCAAGCGUUGUCCGGAAUCAUUGGGCGUAAAGCGCGUGUAGGCGGCCCGAUAAGUCGGCUGUGAAAGUCAAGGGCUCAACCCUUGGAAGCCGGCCGAUACUGUCGGACUAGAGUCCGGAAGAGGCGAGUGGAAUUCCCGGUGUAGCGGUGAAAUGCGCAGAUAUCGGGAGGAACACCAAUUGCGAAGGCAGCUCGCUGGGACGGUACUGACACUGAGGAGCGAAAGCCAGGGGAGCAAACGGG